ACGCUGGCUCAUACCCCAUAUCGUCUCACGACCACAAAAGAGGACCUUCUGGCCUCUCUCUAUCUCAUAAGCCCCCAUAUGAUAAUCUAUUAUGCGGGGUAAUGUGCCACCUAUGCGACAAUACCUCUCUGUGCUGAGAGGAUAACACCCCCCACUGUGACUGAGACACGGUCCACACACUUAUAGGAGGCGCCACUGUGGAAUAUUUUGCAAUGGGCGCACGCCUGAGACGCCCCUGUCCCGUGUGUGAAAAAAGCCUUCUGGUUGUAAAGUACUUUCUGCGGAGAAGAGCGACGCGGUUUAUAUCCCUGUGUAUUGUCAUUACCCGCACAAAAAACACCGGCUAACUCUCUGCGACCACCCGCGCUAAUAUAGAGGGUGCGCGCGUUAAUCUCAAUUACUGUGCGUAUAGCGCACGCACGCGGUCUGUGAUAUCACAUAUGUGAUCUCCGGGCUUAACCUGUGAACUGUGUUUGAGACUGUGACGCUUGAGUCUUGUGU
rnacentral:rRNA from 1 species